rnacentral:rRNA from 1 species
GUAGGGGAGCAAGCGUUAUCCGGAUUUACUGGGUGUAAAGGGCGCGCAGGCGGGGAAGACAAGUUGGGGAGUGAAAUCCGGGAGGCUCAACCCCCGAACUGCUUUCAAAACUGUUUUUCUUGAGUGAUGGAGAGGCAGGCGGAAUUCCCAGUGUAGCGGUGAAAUGCGUAGAUAUUGGGAGGAACACCAGUGGCGAAGGCGGCCUGCUGGACAUUAACUGACGCUGAGGCGCGAAAGCGUGGGGAGCAAACAGGAUUAGAUACCCUGGUAGUCCACGCCGUAAACGAUGGAUACUAGGUGUGGGAGGUAUUGACCCCUUCCGUGCCGGCGUUAACACAAUAAGUAUCCCACCUGGGGAGUACGAUCGCAAGGUUG